ensembl:snRNA U5 U5 spliceosomal RNA
CUAUGGUGGUUUCUCUUCAGAUCAAAUACAUCUUUUGCCUUUUACUAAAGAUAUCCAUGGAGCCAGCAUUCUGAGUUUAAUCAGGUUUUUGAGGCCCUUCCUUGGCAGGGCU